rnacentral:rRNA from 1 species
GACGAACGCUGGCGGCGUGCUUAACACAUGCAAGUCGAACGGUAAGGCCCUUCGGGGUACACGAGUGGCGAACGGGUGAGUAACACGUGGGUGAUCUGCCCUGCACUUCGGGAUAAGCCUGGGAAACUGGGUCAAAUACCGGAUAGGACCACUGCCUGCAUGGGAGGUGGUGGAAAGCUUUUGCGGUGUGGGAUGGGCCCGCGGCCUAUCAGCUUGUUGGUGGGGUGGUGGCCUACCAAGGCGACGACGGGUAGCCGGCCUGAGAGGGUGAACGGCCACACUGGGUCUGAGAUACGGCCCAGACUCCUACGGGAGGCAGCAGUGGGGAAUAUUGCACAAUGGGCGCAAGCCUGAUGCAGCGACGCCGCGUGAGGGAUGACGGCCUUCGGGUUGUAAACCUCUUUCAGCACCGACGAAGCGCAAGUGACGGUAGGUGCAGAAGAAGGACCGGCCAACUACGUGCCAGCCGCCGCGGUAA